rnacentral:rRNA from 1 species
AUUGAACGCUGGCGGCAGGCCUAACACAUGCAAGUCGAACGAGUGGCGGACGGGUGAGUAAUGUCUGGGAAACUGCCUGAUGGAGAGGGAUAACUACUGGAAACGGUAGCUAAUACCGCAUACCAUCGGAUGUGCCCAGAUGGGUUUAGCUAGUAGGUGGGGUAACGGCUCACCUAGGCGACGAUCCCUAGCUGGUCUGAGAGGAUGACCAGCCACACUGAAACGGAGACACGGUCCAGACGCCUACGGGAGGGAGGAGUGGGGAAUAUUGCACAAUGGGCGCAAGACUGAGGCAGCAACGCCGGGUGAAGGAAGACGGUCUUCGGAUUGUAAACUUCUUUCGACAGGGACGCGGUACCUGGAGAAUAAGCCACGGCUAACUACGUGCCAGCAGCCGCGGUAAUAC